rnacentral:tRNA from 1 species
GGUCUUAGAUUUAGGGUUGCAAACUCUAAUAGUAUGGGCUUAUUUAGGUUAUAAUUUGCAU